UGGGUGAGUAACGCGUAAGAAACCUGCCUUUCACACCGGGAUAGCAGCUGGAAACGGCUAUUAAUACCGGAUGACACUUUUUCCCCGCAUGAGGAAGAGGUUAAAGAAUUUCGGUGAAAGAUGGUCUUGCGUCUGAUUAGCUAGUUGGUGGGGUAACGGCCUACCAAGGCGACGAUCAGUAGCCGGGCUGAGAGGGUGUACGGCCACAUUGGGACUGAGACACGGCCCAAACUCC
rnacentral:rRNA from 1 species